GCCAGCAUGGUAUAAUGGUUUGAAUACUGGACUAUGACUCUAGAGACUAGGGUUCAAAUCCCUGCUUAGUCA